rnacentral:rRNA from 1 species
UGGGGAAUAUUGCACAAUGGGCGCAAGCCUGAUGCAGCCAUGCCGCGUGUAUGAAGAAGGCCUUCGGGUUGUAAAGUACUUUCAGCGGGGAGGAAGGGAGUAAAGUUAAUACCUUUGCUCAUUGACGUUACCCGCAGAAGAAGCACCGGCUAACUCCGUGCCAGCAGCCGCGGUAAUACGGAGGGUGCAAGCGUUAAUCGGAAUUACUGGGCGUAAAGCGCACGCAGGCGGUUUGUUAAGUCAGAUGUGAAAUCCCCGGGCUCAACCUGAGAACUGCAUCUGAUACUGGCAAGCUUGAGUCUCGUAGAGGGGGGUAGAAUUCCAGGUGUAGCGGUGAAAUGCGUAGAGAUCUGGAGGAAUACCGGUGGCGAAGGCGGCCCCCUGGACGAAGACUGACGCUCAGGUGCGAAAGCGUGGGGAGCAAACAGG